CAUAACAAGACUGUUCACCAUACUGGAAGAACUGAGCCCCCAAAGCAAACCAGUUUCGAUCUCUUGGGUGACAUGGAUGUCAUUAGGCAGUUGAAUGCGCAUGCGUACUCCAUCCAUUUCCUUCUCACCAUGCGGCCCCGGGUACUGGCAACCCAUGCUACACCACUGAUGAGGAGAACAUUCUGCUAGAAGCAAAGGUGGUACUCAAAACCACCUUGAGGACCUGGUCUAAAAUGCUGCACCUUCAAGAUCCUCCCUGGGAUUUUAGGAAUGUUGAGACGUGCUGCUUAUAAAGCCCUAAGUACAAGAUGGUCACGGACGGCUGGAAGGAGGCAUGUUCUAAUGGAAACAAAUCACUUGUCAGCGAGCAGCCUUCAAACUUUGAACAA